GGAACUCUGGAGAAUCUCAUGCUGCAUGAGUGCCGAAGGUGCAAGGCCGGAAACGGCCGAAUCUCUCAGGCCAAAGGACAGAGCA
rnacentral:ncRNA from 1 species